rnacentral:rRNA from 1 species
UACGUAGGGUGCAAGCGUUGUCCGGAAUUAUUGGGCGUAAAGAGCUCGUAGGCGGUCUGUCGCGUCUGCUGUGAAAACUCAGGGCUUAACCCUGAGCUUGCAGUGGGUACGGGCAGACUAGAGGUGCGGUAGGGGAGACUGGAAUUCCUGGUGUAGCGGUGAAAUGCGCAGAGUAUCAGGAGGAACACCGAUGGCGGAAGGCAGGCUCUGGG